AAGAAGAACUCCACAAUUUCCUGGUUCAAUCUACGCUCAAUCUGCUUCUGAUGCUGAUGUUGCUUCUUCUCUUUCUUUGCUUCUUAAAUUCCUCGGGUCUGAUGGUGAUGAUGAUUAGCGUCCUCUAAGCAAAUUAAGAUUCUGAUAUGGAAAAUCAUGCGUCUUCUCGUCACACAAACAAUCAAUUUCACACAAUUAGGGAUGUUAAAACGAGCUAUUGGACCAUUUAGGCCCAUCCCCAUUUAACAAAAAAAAUUGAAACUGAGCCCGUUUAGAUUGAGCCCAUUUAACUACCGGAUUCUAGCGACCGGAGCUUCGAUCCGUAUUUUAAAAAUCCGUGUAAAAAUAGAUUAAAUAAACGUGUUUACGCUAAAAAAUAUUAGACAGCACCCGUUUCGGUCUACGGCCUUCAAGCCCGUUUUAACAUCCCUAGUCACAACCACUG